UGCUACUAUGCCACCAACCGUCCACUCCACGUACUCCCACGCCACCCACCCCGAGCCAGAUCUAGAUCGAGACCCCCUGCACCAGCGGCCUCCCGUCCCCCCUUCCUCAACCUCCUCUCCUCCGCUGUCCACCGGAGGCCCCCGCACACACGGGAAACUGCUGCUCGGCGUCUCCAGCAGCCAAGGCCGGGCUCCCGGCCUCUGCGCGGCGUCGUCUCUUCCUUCCCCGUCGCCAUCUGUCACCGUCGUCGUCGCGGUCCGGCCCUCCGCGCCGCAGCGUUGUCAUGCUUGUGGUCGAUUCAGCCGGGGAUCAACAACGCCGUCGUCGCCGGUGGCAUGGAUACCAUGUCCAAUGCCCCCAAAUACGCUGCAACAGCAAGAUAGAAGAUAGCAACGGAGUGGUAAGAUUUGUGCAGAGAUCUUCUCCUCCGUCGUCGUCUGUGACAAAGCUACUGGGUGCAUCCGUCCAUCUUCAGAUCUGAGUGAAGAGGGCAUCCGUCCAUCUCAAAAGGAUAUGGAUGACUAUCUGAAAGUAUGCAGGUUUCUUUCCAAACUUAACAACGGGAUACUAGGUGAAAGAAAUGCUGCCUACAAGGAGAGGUUGAGCAGCCUAGAGAAUUUAGUACUGAUCAUGGGGUGAUCGACGUGGACUACCGCGACCUGGUGGGCAUCGUGCUCUUCAACCACUCGGAGACGGACUUCGCUGUGAAGCCCGGCGACCGCAUCAUAGAGAUGAUUGUCCAGGUGAUUGCGGCGCCGGAGGUCGCCGAGGUGGAGGACCUUGACGCCACCGUACGGAGUCGUCGAGGUGGAGUACCUUGACGCCACUGUCUGGACGUUGCCCAGGUGAAGGACCUCGACGCCUUGGUAGAUACAUCUAGAGAAGUGGUCUACUUAGGUUGGUGGUGGAACGCUAGGGAAGGUACCUACCUUUCGUUGAUGAUGUUUGUGUGCGUCUGAGGUAUAAAUGGGAUCUCGUGAUCUCUUUGAAUUGAGAUGUUCAAUGUUGUAUCCAUGAACGCUGCAAGUGCUAAGUAAGAAUGUAAGUGUUAAAAUGGUUCUGUGACCUUUAUUUAUUUUGCCAUGGAUGUGUCUUGAUUUGUAUC